rnacentral:rRNA from 1 species
AGGCGUGCUGGCACUUGGAGAGUGGCAAGUCUUCGAGUAUGGGGAGCAAAACAGCUAUGGGUCGAGUCUGAUAUCUUUAGGAGGGGGGAAGCUCCUCUUAUUGUGAGGGCGAGUUAUAUAACACCAUAGGACUGGCCGUCCCAUAUGAAAAGAUUAUAUUAGAAUUGAAUGAAGCUUUGUUUAUAUAUUGAUAAUGACAGUAUAUAUAUCGUGUCUUGACUAAUUGCGUGCCAGCAGUCGCGGUAAUACGUAAGAGACUAGUGUUAUUCAUCUUAAUUAGGUUUAAAGGGUACCCAGACGGUCAAUAUAGCUUAUAAAAUGUUAGUACUUGACUAGAGUUUUAUGUAAGAGGGCAGUACUUGAGGAGGAGAGAUGAAAUUUCCUGAUACCAAAGGGACUCUGUAAAGGCGAAGGCAGCCCUCUAUGUAAAAACUGACGUUGAAGGACGAAGGCACAGAAAACAAACAGGAUUAGAUACCCAAGUAGUCUUUGCAGUAAAUGAUGAAUGCCAUAGGUUAGAUGGGUGG